rnacentral:rRNA from 1 species
GAUGAACGCUGGCGGCGUGCUUAACACAUGCAAGUCGAAACGGAGAAAGGGUAGCUUGCUAUCUUUUCUUAGUGGCGGACGGGUGAGUAACGCGUGGGUAACCUGCCCUUUGCAGGGGGAUAACAGUGAGAAAUCGCUGCUAAAUACCGCAUACCAACUUUCUUUCGCAUGAAGGAAGUUUGAAAGAUUUAUCGGCAAAGGAUGGACCCGCGUUGGAUUAGCUAAGUUGGUGAGAUAACAGCCCACCAAGGCAACGAUCCAUAGCCGGCCUGAGAGGGUGAACGGCCACACUGGGACUGAGACACGGCCCAGACUCCUACGGGAGGCAGCAGUGGGGAAUAUUGCACAAUGGGCGAAAGCCUGAUGCAGCGACGCCGCGUGAAGGAUGAAGGUCUUCGGAUUGUAAACUUCUAUCAGCAGGGAAGAAAGGGCUUAUAGCCUAAUGACGGUACCUGACUAAGAAGCCCCGGCUAACACGUGCCAGCAGCCGCGGUAAAGACG